GGCCGCCGGACCAAGCGACAAACUUCUCCGCCGCUGUUCGGAAACAAGACGUCUCCAGACAAAACGCGACAAAGCGACCGCUUUUUGAAAACUAACGGCUCAUCUCUGCUUCUGGAAGGAGCCUACCUGCGAGGGAACCGCCGCUCCGGAGAAAUGUUAUAAAGGUUUAUUUUACACCCGCGUUUAGUUUAUCACCAAACUUCAGUUGGAAAAGCAGCCAACUGUCGUCCAAGUUCGGAGACUUUGGGCAGGUUGCUGUCCUGUGGGAUGGAUGACAUCCAGGAGCAGGACCACUAUGAGGAGCGCCUAAAAGAAGUUUUUAACAGUUUUGACGCCAGCGGCUCCGGUUCACUGUGCCCGGAGGAGCUCUCUGACCUCUGCCAGUCCCUGCACCUGGAUGAUGCCACACCAGCUCUUCUCCACACACUGCUGCAGAACCAGGACCGCCUCACUGCCAGGGUUGACUUUGACCAAUUCAAGAAUGCACUGAUUCUGGUAUUGUCAUCAACUAUUGAGCCACCACAAGCAGAACAGGAGACCUUGUCAAAACCAGAGUCUCCUGAGAUCCAACCAAAGUUCGUGAAGGGCAGUAAACGCUAUGGACGCCGCUCCACACCAGAGUUCAUAGAGCCUAUUUCAGAUUUGUCCGAAGUUAGAAAUGCAAAUCCAGUGGAGCAGGAGGAUCUGGAGGACAACUAUGACUCAGCUGUUCCCAGGAAGCGUGAGCGCUGGAAUGCUCACGAAACAAGCACGGAGGAAUAUGAGGCAGAAGGUCAGAUGCAUCUCUGGAACCCCGAUGAGCCGAGCACACCCCGGGGAUCAAACACUUCUCUGUCGGCCUGUUUAGAGGAGAGACUGCGUGAAGCCUGCAGUGAGCUGGCGAUAUCAUGGGACGGCUAUGCCGGUCACGCUGAACUGCUCGCUCUCUGUGAACACCUGGGCCUGGAGAUAAACCUGGAUGUGCUCCAUCGUCUAACCGGCGAUGGAGUGAUGAAUGUUCAGGAGUUUGUUUCCAGGGUUGUAAACCACAACAAACCCCCCACACCGUCCGCCUCCACACCGUACAGGCAGCUUAAACGACACCAUUCCACUCAGCCCUUUGAUGAGGGAGGCCGCAGGAUAGCCACUCCAUCUGCCCUGACCAGCACCAUUGGCAUGCGUCUCUUCUCCACCCUUGAUGAUGGGACCGGUUUCACUCCAGUCGAAUACAUCCUGGACGCCUGGAUGGAAGAGGGAAUAGAAAAUAGCGCUGAGAUCCUGCAGGCUUUGAAUAUCAGCCUAGAUGGAAAACUGAGCCUUGGUGAUCUCACCAUGGCACUUGAAAAUGAGCUACUCGUUACUAAGAAUGGGAUUCAUCAAGCAGCUCUGGCGAGCUUCAAAGCUGAGAUCAGAUAUCUUCUGGAGCGAGUAGACAGAGAACUCAGGGAGAAAGAGAAAAUCCGAUCUGACCUGGAGAAAGCAGAGAAACUAAAAACUCAACUUGCCACUGAGGUGGAUGAGCAUCACUCUGCAAUUGAGCACACAAAUAACCUCAACCUCAGGAAGCUUGAACAGGACCACAAAGAAAAGCUAGCCGCAGUACGAUCAGAGCUGAUGAAGGAGAUCGAUCAGCUCCACCAGCAAGCCAGUCUGCAGCGUGAGGAACUGGAAGCAGAGGUCCAGAAGAUCAGGGAGGAUGAAUCUUUUCUCAGAGACCACCUCUCCAUAUCUGUGAAGGAAAACAGGCGUCUUGAAAUGGAGUUGCUGGACAGCACCGAAAAACUGGUGGAAGCGCAAAGCCAGAUUGCAAAACUCCAAACAAAUGUGGACAACAUUAUGAAAGAAAAGUUUGGAGACUUGGACCCUGGCAGUGCAGACUUCUUCCUCCAAGAGGAACGCAUUAAACAACUACGCAACAGCUAUGAAGCUCAGUACAGGGAACUGCAGGACCGUAUUGACGAGCUGCAGUCAGAGUUGCAGGAGUUCCACAGUCUUGGUCGAGUUAAUCAGACCUGCCACAAACCUCUCUCUGAAGAGCUGGAGAGUAAAAGCCCUGGCAUGGAGUCUGAUCCAGGUCUUGGCUCAGAGGAGGUUCAGCCAUUCAGCAUGAGCCUUGAAGCAGAGAUGAUGUUGGAGCAGCUGAAGGAGCAGCACCUUCAGGAGAUGGAGGAUUUGCGAAACCAGCUGGAAAGCAAGAUCAAUGAAUUUGACAAGAUGGUUGAAAAGCAGAGGGCGACCCAUGAGGCCCAGAAGGCUGCCUUAGCCCUCCAGUACCAGCAAGAGGUCCAGGUUUUGAAGGAGGAGAUGGCCGGCAUUCAGAGCCACUCACGGGAACUCCAGAGCCAGCUCGAGCAAGCGGAGCUGGAGCGAACAUGUCUGGAUCAGACGCAGGCCAAGGAGAGGGAAGAGCUCAAGAAGCUGCAAGAAGAGGAGGUCGGAGCUUUCAGACAACAGCUGUUAGAGACCCACACCUACACUGCAGAUCUGGAGGACCAGCUGAAGACCCUCAAAGCCCAGCAGGCAGAGACGGACAAAAACCUUGUUAAUGAGAUGGAGGAUCUGAAGACACUACACAUCGCUGAUAUUAAGAAACUGGAGGAGCAGCAUGUAGAGCUUUCUGAAUCCAGACUAGAAGAGGAGAGAAUGAAAUUACAAGAAGAAAAGGCAGAGUUGGAGACAAGAUUGAUAAAUGAUUGCAAAAAGGAGAAGGAACUAUUACAACAAAGCCAUGAGGAUGAACUGAAGGCCAGACUAGAAGACGCAAAGGUGAGGUUUGAGGAAGAGCGUGAUGAGAUUGUGCAGAAACUGACAGAGCAGUGGCAGAAAGAGAGGGCUCAGCUGGAUGAGCAGAAUAAUGAGUCUCUGCAGGUUUUGCUGGAGGAAGAGAUGUUGAGACUUGUCAAGGAACAGGAAGAGAAGGAGAGCAAGCUCAGGGAGCAGUGGGAGAGCGAACGAGCCCAGCUUCUGGAGCGUCAGGAGGAGGCUCUGCUCGAUAGAAUCCUGCAGGAAAGGUCGCAGUUACAAGAGCAGUUUGAGCAGAGGGAGAAAAAGCUGAAGGAGGACUGGGAGAAGGAGAGACUGCAACUGGAGGAGGAUUACGAAGGGAUGCUCCAGGAAAGGCUUAACGAAGAGAGGGAGAAGUUUGAGACUGAGACGGAGGAGGAGGAGAAGAGGCUAGAAUUUCGAAUAGCAGAGGAGAGGGCUCGUCUGGAGGAGAGCCACAGAGAGGCUGUGAAGGAGCUGACCGUGAAGCACACUGAAGAGAGGGACACUCUCAGCAGCAUGUUGGACAAGCUACGAGAUGACAUCGCUGAGGAGAGAUCUGAGGCCAGACGUCUCGCUGAAGAAAACCUCGUCCUCAAGCAGAAGCUUGCUGAGUUGAAGGAAGAGGACUUGAAAGAGGCCCAGGAAGAGUUUAUACAAACAUUGGAGCGCUUGAAAAAAGGAAAGAUUGCAGCUCAAAGGGCCGCAGAGAAUUUCAAGAAACAGAUUUCAGAGUUGCGUUUGCAGAACCAGCAGCUGGAGGAUGACAAUGGGUUUCUGUCAGAGAAGGAUGCCCAGAAUAUUACUGAUAUUGAGAAUUUACAACAGCAGCUGGCAGAGCUGAUAAAGGAAAACGAGAGGAGGGAGGUGUUCCCCGCUGAAGAGAAAAAUGAGAUGUUAGUUUGUGUGUCUGCACUGGAGGCAGAGCUGACCAAAGCUUUGGAUGACACAGCACAGCUGGAGGAGAGGAAUACCCAGCUGUCACAGCAGCUCUCUGCCCUCAGAGAGAAGGCACUUAAAGUCGACCUUGUGGAGAGUCAGCUGAGUCACCUGGUGGAUGAGCGGAAGAGUGUGGAUCAGGAGACUCUAGGUCUCCGCAAUCAGCUAGACAAAGCUGAAGAGAGGGUGAAGACAGCAGAUGAAACUCUUCAGGCCGUGAACCAUCAAUGUGCUCGUCUUAAGUCCGACCUCAAUGUUCUUCAGCAAGAGAGGGAUUCCCUCAAACAUGAUGUUGCAGUGAUACACAAACAGCUGCAAAAGGUCAAUGAUAAAAACCAUGUUCUGGAGAUGGCCUUGCACUCGAGUGGUCUCCAGAAUCAGGGUCAGGGCAAGAAGCGGUACAGAGAUGAGAUGUCUCGACUGAUGGAGCAGGAUCAGCAGCUGCUGAGGCAGGAAAACGAACGGCUUCAGGCAGAAGUGAGCAGCAUCAACAGAGACCUUGUCCAGUCCAGAGAGAAGGUCUGUCAGCUUGAUGCUACCGUCCAGUCCCUGAAGCAGCACAAACAGCAGAGUCAGUCCUCCCUGGUGAAGGCCUUGGAGCAGGAGAACGCCUCUCUGAAGCAGGAGCUGGAGACACAAAAGGAGCUCAGCAAGGGCUGUGAAGCAGGACAAGGACACUCAGAGCUGGAGAGGCUUCAACAAGAAAAUGAAGCACUCAGGACCCAAAUGGCUCGACUGUCUGCACAGCUGAUAGAGACAUUCCAGGAUCAUUUGGUCGAUCUUCUGCCUCCGUCACCCCACAGGAUGCCCAGAGGACAGCAUCGUGGCGAAGGUCCAGACAACAUGCAGGGGACGAUGCCGGAGCAGUGGGCGGCUCACGCAGACAGCUACCGGCGGAUCGGUGGACUGUAACACCAGCGUCUUUCCCUGCUCUUCACUUUAGCCUCUUUUUUUCCCCUCCAAGACUGCUCUCCUCAGUCCUGCUCUUCCUCUGCUAUGUCAGGACUGUGGCACACGAUGCCAUCCUUUCUGCAUCCUUACAGGAGCUUGUGAUCAAAUAUGGUGCCUGAUUCAGAAGGCGUGAAUGUGUAAUUGUAUUUCUCUGCUGCUAGGUGGCAGGAAAACACUGAAAAGGCUCUUUAGGUUUUUCCCAAUGGGAUUUCUAUUAAAUAAUGACAUUACCAUUGAAAAUGUAAAGUUUGUCAGAUGUACCGUAUCAAAUUUAACAUCUCCAAACACACUGCAGUGUCAUUUCUCGACAGACUUUGACUUUUGUGCUUUGUGCAGUAAAAGCAUUUUGUAGUUUAAAUACAGGGAACCUCUUUAAAACAGGGUGUAUUUUCUGGGAAUGUUCUGUUAUGCACUUGUAGCAUUUAUCAUUGUCUGAGACAGGGUAUAUACAUCCUCAGAGGCUAAAUCUUGUGUGACAGCUUGCCUUACGAUCAUCGAGGAGUGUUCAGUUGAGGCGAGGUUAGUGCCUAACAGCCUUCUGAGCCUUUUCUAACAAUCAAGCAAAUUCAUCCUGCGGUCAUCAGGUGAUGUUACUGUCUGUGUCCAGUCAGGGUUUCGAGAGAUUUCUUAACGAAGGCACUACGUUUUCACUGCUUGUCUUUUGUUGUUUAUGCCUGUAUUUGUUGUUUGGCACUACACAUAGCCAAAUGUUUCUUCAAGCUAUCUGUUAAUGUUGUGUUUGUGUUCUGGGACUGCGUGUGGCUGUUUCUGUUGCUGCUGCACCACCAAAGUGAAUCGCAUCUUUCCAGGUCAUGUUUUCUUAAGGGCUGCUCAAACACGCCACACAACGGUUAACUUUGAAUGUUUAUCUGGUAUUUAUUAUUAGAAAAUCCAUUUGAACCAAAUCUUUGUUUGUCCCCAGUAGUGUGCCAUUAGUAUAACGUGUCAUUAUAUGUAUUAAUGUCAUAUCUGUGCUUUGAUUUUGAGUCAUUUAGUGAGGCUUUUCUUUUUUGCACCAUGUGUAGACUCAAAUGUAUUUGAUUUGUUUCAUUGUUUUGUUAUUUAUUUAAACAGAAUCAUGUUAGAGUUUAAUUUAUUUAUGCAUUAAAUUAUUUUUUGUAGAGGUAUCUGGAAUACAUGGCAUAAUUUUAUACUUAUUUAUAUUUUAUUUAUUUUUUUAGUGAUUUUUCCUCUCCUUAGAAAUGUACCAGAAAUCAUUUAUAAUGCAGAAAUCAAGACAUAAUAAAGCAUCUAGCUCAUUAAACUGUGGUCUGUAAGUUGUUUGAUUUUUCUCAGUCACGUUUUUCAGUUUACUGCAGGGAAGAAAAUUCAAAUUUCAGCGUCAUUUUGUAGCAUUUGCAGCAAUUUGUUGAUAUCACUCACUGUCUUUUCACCAGGAUGAAAGGGAGAGGAAGAUGAAGAAUAUGGAGGAGCGUAUGAGGGAAGUUGAGCUGUCGCUGUAUAACGUCAAACUGCUGCUCAAGGAGAAGGUUGCUCAGCUGAAAGACCAGCUUCACAAGAAUGGCAAAGCAGACGUGUUGAUCAA